rnacentral:rRNA from 1 species
UACGAAGGGGGCUAGCGUUGCUCGGAAUCACUGGGCGUAAAGAGCGCGCAGGCGGUCGUUCAAGUCGAGUGUGAAAGCCCCCCGGCUCAACUGGGGAGGGUCACUCGAUACUGAUCGACUCGAAGGCAGGAGAGGGAAGUGGAAUUCCCGGUGUAGUGGUGAAAUGCGUAGAUAUCGGGAGGAACACCAGUGGCGAAGGCGGCUUACUGGACCGUAACUGACGCUGAGACACGAAAGCGUGGGGAGCAAAACAGG